rnacentral:lncRNA from 1 species
CAGUUGAAUACAGAUGAGAGUUUGAGUCCAUUGGAAUUGUCCCUAAACAUUUGGGUUUUGGUAACACUGAUAAGUGGAAUUUCAUUGAAGUGUAGCCAAAUGGCAGUAGAUUAAAAUGUGAAUAAGAGAAAAAAGUGGAGUGAAAAGUGUAUGAAUACACAUCUUUUGAGAAGUUUGACUAUAAAGAAUAGCAGAUAAAUAGAAUGUGACAGCUUAAAAAAGUUCUCUCUUCCUCUUUCCAAAAGAUAUUUGAAAGACUAAAUUUUAGGAACCAAGUCUAGAGGAGCUGACACUAUCUGGGACAUGCAAUUCUCAAGUGGAUGGAUGGAAUAUGAGUGUUUGAAUGUGAAUAUUGCAGCAAUCAAGCUUUUGCUAUGCAGAGAAGGAAUAUGAAAAGGAAUUAAAGAUCAGAUGCUGAGAAUAUUGAAGACAUGAGCAAUUUCCUAAUUUUCCUUUUGUGUCUAACCUAUUUCACUUGGCACCAGCAACUGAUUGUUAAAAUGAUAAAGUCUCAGCACCAAGAAUGUUGGUAAUAAUCCCCAUUUCGUCACUCAUUUGUGUUCAUCAUAUUUUUUCCCAUCAUGUGAGCAUAAUUUCCUCUGAUAGGUGUGUUCGUGAAUUCAUUUCAUGUACCUCUUUUGUGUCAACAAGCAUAAU